rnacentral:rRNA from 1 species
UACAGAGGUCCCAAGCGUUACUGAGAAUCACUGGGCUUAAAGGGUGCGUAGGUGGCACGUUAAGUCAGUUGUGAAAUCCCCGGGCUCAACCCGGGAACUGCUUCUGAUACUGGCGUGCUUGAGGCCAGUAGGGGUCACUAGAACUGACGGUGGAGCGGUGAAAUGCGUAGAUAUCGUCAGGAAUGCCGGUGGUGAAGACGGGUGACUGGGCUGGUUCUGACACUGAGGCACGAAAGCGUGGGGAGCGAACGGG